rnacentral:rRNA from 1 species
UACGUAGGGUGCUAGCGCUGCUCGGAAUUACUGGGCGUAAAGAGCUCGUAGGCGGUCUGUCGCGUCGGUCGUGAAAACCUGCAGCUUAACUGUGGGCGUGCGGUCGAUACGGGCAUGACUGGAGUUCGGCAGGGGAGACUGGAAUUCCUGGUGUAGCGGUGAAAUGCGCAGAUAUCAGGAGGAACACCGGUGGCGAAGGCGGGUCUCUGGGCCGAUACUGACGCUGAGGAGCGAAAGCGUGGGGAGCGAACAGG